UCACUCCAACCCCUGUGACAUACCAAUUGUUGCCUCGGCGGAUCAGCCCGCUCCCGGUAAAACGGGACGGCCCGCCAGAGGACCCCUAAACUCUGUUUCUAUAUGUAACUUCUGAGUAAAACCAUAAAUAAAUCAAAACUUUCAACAACGGAUCUCUUGGUUCUGGCAUCGAUGAAGAACGCAGCAAAAUGCGAUAAGUAAUGUGAAUUGCAGAAUUCAGUGAAUCAUCGAAUCUUUGAACGCACAUUGCGCCCGCCAGUAUUCUGGCGGGCAUGCCUGUUCGAGCGUCAUUUCAACCCUCAAGCCCCCGGGUUUGGUGUUGGGGAUCGGCGAGCCCUUGCGGCAAGCCGGCCCCGAAAUCUAGUGGCGGUCUCGCUGCAGCUUCCAUUGCGUAGUAGUAAAACCCUCGCAACUGGUACGCGGCGCGGCCAAGCCGUUAAACCCCCAACUUCUGAAUGUUGACCUCGGAUCAGGUAGGAAUACCCGCUGAACUUAAGCAUAUCAAUAAGGCGGAGGAAA
rnacentral:rRNA from 1 species